rnacentral:rRNA from 1 species
GAUGAACGCUGGCGGCGUGCUUAACACAUGCAAGUCGAACGAACCUUCGGGUUAGUGGCGGACGGGUGAGUAACGCGUGAGAAUCUGCCCUCAGGAGGGGGAUAACAGCUGGAAACGGCUGCUAAUACCCCAUAUGCCGCGAGGUGAAAUGAAUUUCGCCUGAGGAUGAGCUCGCGUCUGAUUAGCUAGUUGGUGUAGGUAAUGGCUCACCAAGGCAUCGAUCAGUAGCUGGUCUGAGAGGAUGAUCAGCCACACUGGGACUGAGACACGGCCCAGACUCCUACGGGAGGCAGCAGUGGGGAAUUUUCCGCAAUGGGCGAAAGCCUGACGGAGCAACGCCGCGUGAGGGAUGAAGGCCUCUGGGCUGUAAACCUCUUUUAUCAAGGAAGAAGAUCUGACGGUACUUGAUGAAUAAGCCACGGCUAAUUCCGUGCCAGCAGCCGCGGUAAUACGGGAGUGGCAAGCGUUAUCCGGAAUUAUUGGGCGUAAAGCGUCCGCAGGCGGCCCUUCAAGUCUGCUGUUAAAAAGUGGAGCUUAACUCCAUCAUGGCAGUGGAAACUGAGGGGCUUGAGUGUGGUAGGGGCAGAGGGAAUUCCCGGUGUAGCGGUGAAAUGCGUAGAUAUCGGGAAGAACACCAGUGGCGAAGGCGCUCUGCUGGGCCAUCACUGACGCUCAUGGACGAAAGCCAGGGGAGCGAAAGGGAUUAGAUACCCCUGUAGUCCUGGCCGUAAACGAUGAACACUAGGUGUCGGGGGAAUCGACCCCCUCGGUGUCGUAGCCAACGCGUUAAGUGUUCCGCCUGGGGAGUACGCACGCAAGUGUGAAACUCAAAGGAAUUGACGGGGGCCCGCACAAGCGGUGGAGUAUGUGGUUUAAUUCGAUGCAACGCGAAGAACCUUACCAGGGUUUGACAUCCUGCGAAUCUUUUGGAAACGAGAGAGUGCCUUCGGGAACGCAGUGACAGGUGGUGCAUGGCUGUCGUCAGCUCGUGUCGUGAGAUGUUGGGUUAAGUCCCGCAACGAGCGCAACCCACGUCUUUAGUUGCCAGCAUUUAGUUGGGCACUCUAGAGAGACCGCCGGUGAUAAACCGGAGGAAGGUGUGGAUGACGUCAAGUCAUCAUGCCCCUUACAUCCUGGGCUACACACGUACUACAAUGCUACGGACAAAGGGCAGCAAGUUCGCGAGGACAAGCAAAUCCCAUAAACCGUGGCUCAGUUCAGAUCGUAGGCUGCAACUCGCCUACGUGAAGGAGGAAUCGCUAGUAAUCGCAGGUCAGCAUACUGCGGUGAAUACGUUCCCGGGCCU